UCAAUUCCCUUUGAGUUUCAGUCUUGCGACCGUACUCCCCCAGGCGGAGUGCUUAAUGCGUUAGCUGCAGCACUAAGGGGCGGAAACCCCCUAACACUUAGCACUCAUCGUUUACGGCGUGGACUACCAGGGUAUCUAAUCCUGUUCGCUCCCCACGCUUUCGCUCCUCAGCGUCAGUUACAGACCAGAGAGUCGCCUUCGCCACUGGUGUUCCUCCACAUCUCUACGCAUUUCACCGCUACACGUGGAAUUCCACUCUCCUCUUCUGCACUCAAGUUUCCCAGUUUCCAAUGACCCUCCCCGGUUGAGCCGGGGGCUUUCACAUCAGACUUAAGAAACCGCCUGCGAGCCCUUUACGCCCAAUAAUUCCGGACAACGCUUGCCACCUACGUAUUACCGCGGCUGCUGGCACGUAGUUAGCCGUGGCUUUCUGGUUAGGUACCGUCAAGGUGCGAGCAGUUACUCUCGCACUUGUUCUUCCCUAACAACAGAGCUUUACGAUCCGAAAACCUUCAUCACUCACGCGGCGUUGCUCCGUCAGACUUUCGUCCAUUGCGGAAGAUUCCCUACUGCUGCCUCCCGUAGGAGUCUGGGCCGUGUCUCAGUCCCAGUGUGGCCGAUCACCCUCUCAGGUCGGCUACGCAUCGUCGCCUUGGUGAGCCAUUACCCCACCAACUAGCUAAUGCGCCGCGGGUCCAUCUGUAAGUGACAGCCGAAACCGUCUUUCAUCCUUGAACCAUGCGGUUCAAGGAACUAUCCGGUAUUAGCUCCGGUUUCCCGGAGUUAUCCCAGUCUUACAGGCAGGUUACCCACGUGUUACUCACCCGUCCGCCGCUAACAUCCGGGAGCAAGCUCCCUUCUGUCGCUCGACUGCAGU
rnacentral:rRNA from 1 species